UGGGGAAUAUUGCGCAAUGGGCGAAAGCCUGACGCAGCAACACCGCGUGAGGGAUGACGGCCUUCGGGUUGUAAACCUCUUUCAGCUCCGACGAAGCGAAAGUGACGGUAGGAGCAGAAGAAGCACCGGCUAACUACGUGCCAGCAGCCGCGGUAAUACGUAGGGUGCAAGCGUUGUCCGGAAUUAUUGGGCGUAAAGAGCUCGUAGGCGGUCCGUUGCGUCUGCCGUGAAAACCCGGAGCUCAACUCCGGGCCUGCGGUGGAUACGGGCGGACUAGAGUCCGGUAGGGGAGACUGGAAUUCCUGGUGUAGCGGUGGAAUGCGCAGAUAUCAGGAGGAACACCGGUGGCGAAGGCGGGUCUCUGGGCCGGAACUGACGCUGAGGAGCGAAAGCGUGGGGAGCGAACAGGAUUAGAUACCCUGGUAGUCCACACCGUAAACGAUGAAUGCCAGUCGUCGGGUAGCAUGCUAUUCGGUGACACACCUAACGGAUUAAGCAUUCCGCCUGGGGAGUACGGUCGC
rnacentral:rRNA from 1 species